CAAAAGAGAAAAGAAAAGGGAAAAAGAAAAUUUCUCCUCCAACCUCGCCCAAAAAAUAUCAGAAGAAAAAAACGAUACAGUCGAUUCAUACAGUCCAGCCAUAUCCCCCGUUCUCCCAUCAAAGCGCUUUCGAAGAACAGCAUUCUGGCCGAGCCGAAUCCCCCAUGCACUACUAUUUCUCUCGGCUCCAUCAAAUUCCUUAUCAGCUCCGAUCAAAGAAUCGGUACUGUGAAGGAAUCGACAAUCGAGUUUCCGUUGGGUUGAGUUGAGCAAUUUCUGUUCAACAAUCCGGGUACAAUUUUUGUUGCCUUUGAUCUGCGGCGGAAGCAAUAGAGAUCCUCGAUUGCUUUAAACUGCUCCAGAAGCAUUCGAUUCGUUUAAAAGUUCCAUUGAGGAGUCUUUCUUCGUUUCAGGGUUGGGCGGAGGAAUAGUCGUUGUAGCGAUAUAUAUACUAUAUAUAUGUGGGGACUGAUUCUGUUUAUGGCUACUGUAUUUGGAAUUCAACUGCCGAGCGUCCACAGUGAGGUUUGCUUCUACAUUGAUGCUCACUGGCAGUGUUAAGGAGCAUUUUUCGUUUUGAAGUAUGAGGAAACGCUUAGUCCGAGAAACAAAUAGGUGCUUGCUGAAGGUUCUGUAGUAAACUCAAAGCCCUGCUAUUUUAAUAGGAAAGCAAAGCAGGCAAGUGUAUACCGGAAAGAAAGAAUGGAUUGUAAUAAAGACGAGGCUGCAAGGGCUAAAGUGAAAGCUGAGGAGAAAUUUACAGCAAAGGACAUAGUGGGGGCUAAAAAAUUUGCUUUGAAGGCACAAAAUUUAUUCCCAGGUCUUGAGGGUAUCUCUCAAAUGUUAGCCACACUUGAUGUCUAUAUUUCUGCAGAAAACAAAAUAAAUGGAGAAGUAGAUUGGUAUGCAAUACUUGGUGUGGAUCCACGAGCUGAUGAGGAAACAGUCAGGAAACACUACAGGAAGCUAGCUCUUAUUCUUCACCCUGAUAAAAACAAGUCUAUAGGAGCUGAUGGGGCUUUUAAGCUUAUUUCUCAGGCUUGGAGUUUGUUGUCUGAUAAAGCGAGAAGAGUAGUAUAUGACCAGAAGAGGAAUGGUAGAGUCAACAAAACUGUUUCAACUUCAAUGGGGAGUUCGUCUUCACAAUCUGGGAGAAAUGGUUUUUACAAUUUCUCAAAAAGUGCUAAUACUUCAAAUAUGAAGAGACAGAAAAGUGCAUCCCGAUCAGAUCAUUCUUCAGCUUCAUCUCAGAAACCAAGACCAACCUUUUGGACUGUGUGCCAUCGGUGCAAGAUGCAGUAUGAGUAUCUCAGAGUCUAUCUGCAUCAUAAUCUUGUUUGCCCCAACUGUCAUGAGCCGUUUUUUGCUAUUGAAACACCCCCACCCCCUGCAAAUGGCGUGAAGUCUAAUGGAUGGGAUUUUACACAGCCAAGUUAUCAAACUAGCAAUAAAACUGCAUAUAGUCAAGGGAGGAGUAAUAUUGCCUCAUCAUCAAAUCAGUCCACACACAGCCAAAACAACUUUCAGUGGGGUCCUUUCUCAAGAACAGGUGGUGCUUCAUCUGCUGCUCAAGCUGCAACUGUAGUUCAGCAGGCAUAUGAGAAAGUGAAGAGGCAACGUGAGGAAGCACAAGCUGCUAAGAGAGAGGAACGAAGAAAGCAUCAGACGUCUAAGAAGGCCCCUGGUCCUGGUGCUGUAAAGAGAAGAAAAGGUGUAGAUGACAUUUCUUCUAGCUCCCAUUCGAGAGAUAUGACCAAUCAGUCAAAAACUGGCCUGACCAGGUUGGGCAAUCUGUCUGGUCGUACACAGGGUAAUAUAAAUGGAAAUACCACGCUCAAGGGCUCUCAGGAUAUCUCUCUUAGUGUAUUUCAGAAGUUAUUAAUCAAGAAGGCCAAGGUGGAAAUAAUGAAAAUGUUACGUGAAUUGAAUUCAUCGACUUCAACUACUGAUGCACUCAAAGAGGGAAAUGGGAAUGAGAAGGUAACUGGGAAGAGAGAAACAACUCCAGUGAGUGGUAAAGAACAUAAUAUAGACAUGUCAAUCGAACUUCCAAAUUCAAAGAGGGAAUCACAGCCAAUGGUUGGUUUUUCUAGCAAUUCAUGUCCCCGUGAAGCAGUAACAAUGUCGAUAGAUGUCCCUGAUCCAGAUUUUCACAAUUUUGAUAGAGACCGUACAGAAAGCUCUUUUGGAGAUAAUCAGGUCUGGGCUGCUUAUGAUGAUGAUGAUGGCAUGCCUCGACGUUAUGCCUGGAUUCAUAGCGUAGUAUCUUUGGACCCAUUUAAAAUGAAGAUUCGUUGGCUAAACUCAAUAAUUGAUAAUGAAUUGGGUUCACUGAAUUGGGUUAGCUCUGGUUUUCCAAAAACAUGUGGGGGUUUUAGAACUGGGAGGUGUGAGAUUUAUAGCUCCAUUAAUUCUUUUUCACACAAGGUCAGAUGGUCAAAAGGCACAUACGGAGACAUUUGCAUAUAUCCCAGAAAGGGAGAUGUUUGGGCUCUUUAUAAGAAUUGGUCCCCUGAUUGGAAUGAACUGACAUCAGAUGAGGUAAUACACAAGUAUGACAUGGUAGAAAUUCUUGAGGAUUAUAACAAAGAACUAGGUGUUAUUGUUACUCCCCUUGUCAAGGUGGCUGGUUUCAAGGCUGUAUUCCAUCAGCAUUUGGAUCCAAAUCAAGUAAGGAGGAUCCCUAAAGAUGAGAUAUUUCGGUUUUCUCAUCUUGUACCUUCACAUUUGCUCACAGGUCAAGAAGCCCCGAAUGCUCCCAGAGGUUGCAGGGAACUGGACCCUGCAGCCACUCCAGUUGAUCUUCUUCACGUCAUAGAAACUCCAAAGGAAGAAAUCAUAGAGAUUGAGGAUUUUAAACCACAAAGUUGUGUGACUGAGAUCAUAGAUGUUAUUGACGAAAAAAUGGAAAAGAAACCAAGGGAAGCAAGAAAAGAGGAUAUAGUAAAACCUGUAGCGAUAGAAGUUGCGGAAGAUGUCCUAGAACUUAAACUGGUCAGGAAAACGGUGCACACUAAUGAAAUGGAAGUUUCUUGAACAAGGAUUAUUUGUUCCUCGUCGGUAUGAAUGGUAAACUUUUUGGAAGCUGACUGGAAAUAGUUGACAUCUUUAGCAUUCUGACUUUCUUUUUUCCUCUUCAAGGAUUUCUUAGAUGGAUCUGUACGUGAAAAUCAUUCCUUUUGUUGUUACUAUGCCUUUGAACUUGAAGAUCCUUCCAGAAGGUUAAUUUAUACCCUUUUAUGUUACUGUAGCCGCUCGUGGAAGCUUCCUCAUGUAUAUUUCAUGCUAAACAGAACUCCAUUCCUUGGAUUUUUGCAAGUUCUGUAUAUAUUCUCUCCCAUAGCUGUUUUACAGAGCCGUCAGGUUGUGACCUACUCAAGUUAGCAUGAUGGCUUUUCGCUGCUUUCUCUUGACUUGGGUUCCUGUUUCAUAUAAAGAUAAUGAAGAUGGUGGAUUUUUCUCUUGACUUGAACGUGUUGGAUGCUUCGUUUCGAUGCAUUUGAGAGAAGAGGUCAUAAUGAGAAUUCAGUUUUUUUCCCCUCUCUCCUAGGAUUUAAUAUCCUACGAGUUUUCUUUUAACACCCAAAUAUUGUGGAUCAGGUGGAGAUCUCUCCUUUGUACUUGACCACGACAUUCUAACACAUAAGUUUGAUCUGCACUAGUGUAUAGAGGGUUCCUCCACUUUUACUGAAUAUUGCAUCUUAUUGCUUUUGACAUUGGUACGAUCUCUCUUGUUUAUACGCCUGAAGUAAUUUGAAACGGGUGGGGACGAUGGAUUAAAAGUUUAAUGAAUGUACCGGGUUUAAUCAA